GAUUAUGCUUCAAACGCAACUCUAAACAGGCGGGGCUUUAGUCUAGAUUUAUAGGCAUUCAGUGUUUCAGCAGUUUUGCAGUUUUCUGGAAGAUUUUUCCAGAUCUGUGAUG